GACAAUUGUUUCUUGUAGGUAAGCUGUUUCUUCACCUCUGCACUGGUUACAAGGGGAGGAAGGCCCCCAUCUUCACCCCAGAGCUCAGAUGCCCUUGGACAGCAGAGGAAGCCCAACUGCUAGUUGUCCAAAAACCAUGAGCACCCAGGACCCUUCCCACCCAGUCUUUGUGCUGAAUAAUAUUACUUGGGAAAGAAUUCAUUUUAAGCCUGUCCUACUGCUCCUCGCCAGAGACGGUUGCUGUUUUCCAGGGAUGCCUCAGAACAUGUUCUGACCGCCUUGAGUCUGCCCGCGAGCACCAAGCUCGGUCAGCUGCAGGUGCAUGAGAAACAGGCUACCCUCAAAUGGGUGGCUGUUUUUCGCUGAGAUUUCUGUGGCUGAACAUUGACCUGCCAAGUAUACUUCAAAUGUUUUUCUUGAAGAGAUAAAAGGGCAAAGUUCCUCCCAGUAUUACGUACUUACCGGGAAAUGGGGAGCAGCCAGUGAGGAGGUGCAGCUGGAAAAGCUAACCCGUAUGCAAAAAAAGGUGGGCUUAUUUCUUUCGUCAGAUACAAGUUUUUAACUGUGUAUAACUGGGCAGAUGAUUAUGCAAUGAUUGUUAGUUUAAAAGUAUUAGGAAUUGUAUAAAUUCCCCAACAAUCCACAAGUUAUUGGUCAUUGCCCUAUUAAUUCCUUGAUCGAAAAAGAAAACUAACACCAGCUUUUAAGGUCAUUUCUUUUUAUCUAAGUGCAAAAAUGUACUGCCCCUAAAAGAUAUUGUUAUGAAUAGUCAAUAUGAGAAUUUAUUACAUUUAUUUUAGGGUUUUACUCGUAUGCACUCAAGUUCUUCCUGUAUUCUUACUUGACUGAACAGGUAGUGCAAGAAUUUUGGAUGUUCAGAAAAAGGUACAUUGUGAAAUUCUGGUUAAAGUCAGAAAUAUGCGCACCAUAUUUAAAAUAUUUAUAGGGCUUACUUCUGCAUUCUUCUUGUUAAACUACUCUUUCCUAAAAUAGAGUUUAUUUGCAGUCACAUGUAGAAGUUAUGGAAUACAAGACUUACACAAAAGAAAAUUAUUUUGACAUUGCAAUAAACAUGUUAAUAUCACACAGUGCAAUGCCUAGCACAUACGAGGUGUUUAAUAAAUGUUUGUUAAAUAAA